CAAUCUCCUGACCACGACCCCGAUUCCAACCCUGCCACACCAGAGCCCUAUCCCCAAACUGCUCCUUUCUUCUCUAGCCCCUACCCCACCUUCCCUUAGCUUGGUCCCCAAAGCUCUCCUUUCUGCCCUUGCCCUACCAAACCCUCCCCUCCACAAUUGCCUCUCUCACUGUGCCCCUCUCCGGCUGUCCUGGCCGGGUCCCCAUCCUGGCUCUGGCCCAAGCUUGGUCCCGCUCCCGCUUCCCUCUACCCCCGCCUCCCUGCGUCACUUCUCCCGGGACUGUCUGCCCCAGUCCCAGCCGCCUGGUCUGUGCCCACAGAUGUGGACGAGUGCCACCGCGUGCCGCCGCCGUGUGACCUCGGGCGCUGCGAGAACACGCCAGGCAGCUUCCUGUGCGUGUGCCCCGCCGGGUACCAGGCUGCACCGCACGGAGCCAGCUGCCAGGAUGUGGAUGAAUGCACCCAGAGCCCAGGCCUGUGUGGCCGAGGGGCCUGCAAGAACCUGCCUGGCUCUUUCCGCUGUGUUUGCCCGGCUGGCUUCCGGGGCUCGGCGUGUGAAGAGGAUGUGGAUGAGUGUGCCCAGGAGCCACCGCCCUGCGGGCCCGGCCGCUGUGACAACACAGCAGGCUCCUUUCACUGUGCCUGCCCUGCUGGCUUCCGCUCCCGAGGGCCCGGGGCCCCCUGCCAAGAUGUGGAUGAGUGUGCCCGAAGCCCCCCACCCUGCACCUACGGCCGGUGUGAGAACACAGAAGG
rnacentral:sRNA from 1 species